UCCUGCUCUGCAUCCAGGCUCAGUUCUGUACCAGCCUUUGUUCAACAAGUAACCCAAUAUCAUGUUUCAGCUUUAUAGAAACAUUUAGGAAAGAAAACUCCUUUGUGAACAAGAGUCUACAACCAUGUCUGUACAUAGGAACAGUGCUGCGUUGAGUUAAAUGCUAACGUCAGCAUGCUAAUAUGCUCACUGACAAUGCUAACAUGCUGAUGUUUAGCAGGUAUAACGUUGUGGUAUAAUGUUCACCCUCUUAGGUUAGUUUGUUAGCAUGCUAACAUUUGCUGAUUAGCACUAAAAACAAAGUUCAGCCGAGGCUGAUGGGAAUGUCAUUAGUUUAGCUGGUAUUUGGUCAUAAAUCAAAAUAAUGGGCACAUUAAUUUUUUGACCAGAUGAUUGCAUUAGAUGAAAAAUUUAGGGAUCGGGAUCACCGAAGUGCCUUUUCAGUGAGAAAACCACUGCCAGCAGCAUGAAUCAUAAAAUUCAAAAGGGAAAAAGAGAGUGACUCAUGAGACUGAAAAUCAUCCAGUUGCCUGCCCGCAUGCAAAAACAAAACAAAAAAUGACAGGGAGUAAGAGGGAGAAGGAGAGCGAUAACAGCAGUAUGUCUACGUCAUCGAGAGUAACCAGACCCUUGGGGCGGAGGGGAUAAAUAAAGGAGCGAGGAGUGUGGGUUAAUAUUACGCACAUCUCCCGGCCGCUUGUGGCCUUGCCGCCUGUCAUGCUCUGCUGGGUAGUGAUGUCAUUCAGACUGCAGAGACACAAACACACAAAGUGUAUGUAAAGAACUGCACACACAACUACUGAAGAUGCUUAAUUAGUAAAUACACCACAUAUAUAUUUAUACACACACAUGCAUGAUUCCUCAUCGAUAUCUAUCCGAUCAAUAAUUCAUAGCAUACUGUCAAUGCAAUGACUACCAACAACUGCCCCCCUGUAUGUUUUGCUUCUUCAUCAACAAUAACCCUUUUCCAACAUUUGGAUUCUAACUUCAGCACAUACAGAAAGAGAAAGAGGGCAGCAGGGUGGAUAUAAGAUUCAGGUUUCUGGUUCAACCGCACAUUUGUGUACUUCAAAAGCUCUCCCUAAAUAUAGGACAGGAGAGAGAGAGAGAAAGAGGACGAGGAUGUGACUGGUUUGCACCCAUAUAUAACCUCUGCCUCACUGCAAGCCUGCAUGUGGUGUCACACUAAACUGUGUCCCCGCUUUCAACCCUAGUUCAGUCCCCUCAGCUCUUUAGUCAUUUGCUAUAAAUAGGCAUACACACACACACACACACACACCACAGCCACCAGACCACUUUGUCUGUCAACUUUUAUUUUUCAGCUGAAGAGAUUGCAGCUGUGUUGAAGUUUAACCUGCAGGCUUGUGUUGCAUUUAUGGUGUGCACAUUGCGCUCUAAGAAUUUUGUGUUGCUUUGCUGUGUUGGCUCAGAAAAUGCUUAGCCCAGACUCACCCUCACAGUGAAAUACUGCACACCUCCACGGGAGGCCAAAGGCACUCUCACCAGGACUCAGGGAGGCUUUUAAAUCACAUGCGAUUAUAGGCGCGCGCACACACACAGACAUAUGCUGUGUGUUAUAAUAUUGUGUGAGUAAGCGAACACACAUGGACCGCUCUUCUGUUCUCUUCUAGAAGAAAAUACAUUUAUCCUACCAUAUUAACAGUUCAGGACAUUGUGGCUCAGUAUUAGAGUUGGCAGCCAUCUUAAAACGUUUGUAUAUGAAAUGGUUCAUUUCUUCAAGACUGAACUCCUUUCUGCUCAUUUUCUCUCUUCAUAUCAAAUCUUUUUAUUGUCCGAUAUAAUGUCCUAGAUUAAAAAGCUUCGCUCUGUUGGUGGAACAGUAAAGUAACUGUAAGGUGCUGAACCUGCGGUAAUCACAACAAACAGCAGAGGGCUGCCUGUGAAUGUACACACAGGGGAAAAAGCUUCUACUGUGGUCAAAUAGUGUGUGAGGGGUUAAAUUUAUGUGUGGGAUUGACUGCAUAUGUGUGUGUGUGUGUGUUCUCAUGUACACAUCAACAAGCAACUGUAUGUGUAUGUCGUAGUAGCAUUUAGUUGUUCUCUCAUUUUGGUGAGCUGGACGCAUUUUCCCACUUCAGGUCUUUACUCAUCUCGUGAUAUUUUGGAAGAAUAGGUCCGUCAGGUUGGUUUUUACUGGGAUAAAUUCUGUGGCAGAGAGCAAGAGAUUGAUUUUACAUUUCUGGCAGCAGCAUCAGGCGUUGUGUGGAAUGAACGGAAGAGGAUCCUGUAGUUAAAAUGACGAAUGAGUCAUGAUGGCUUAACAGACAAAACAAGAGCAGUAUCACCAGCAAGCACUCGAAUGCAAAAUCCAGGCAGAUGUCACAGCCCUGACAACAGUGGAGGAACCCCAAAGCAUUGACUGCUGAUGAUCAGAUAUUUGAGUACUUGUACUGUCUCUCUCCACAGGCCUGCAGAGAGAAUCAUGCUUUGGAAUCUGAUCAUUUCAGUGUCAUCUGGUGAGACUCUCCUCUUUCCUCUCUCUCUCUCUGUUGACUUCCUCCAUUCUCUCUCCCCCCUCUCCCCAGUUUUAUAGAUUUCUUAGAUUUCUCACCUUCCUCGCUUUGCUAUCUUCCAGCCCUCUUCACCACCAGCCACAAAUUACUUAUGUUGACAUACCACAGGCAUCUACAACUAUCACAUCUAUGAACUGCACCUCCUGAAAGCUUUCAUAAGGAUACAACAUGUUCUGAAGCUGUUAUACAGAAGAGAUGUGUGAGAUGUGUUAUAAAAGCAGUGACUUUGUCCUUGUUCUCAUCCUUUCUUUCCACUGGAAAUGUUUCAUCAAACUAAGGAAGAACACAAAAGAGGACCCUCUCUCAGAGAACAAAGUACAUCAAAAGAUUGCUUCGUAUUUGUCUUUAUUACAGUUGUCUUCUAAACGAUGGAAUUCUCUGCCUGUGAAUCUGAGGACAGCAACAAUCUGCUGAGGCCUUGAAGCACCUGUAAAAACUAACCUUUAACAAUGCUCAAGCAUUUCUUUAUUAUGUGCUUACUUAAUGGUGGAGGAGAAGAGCUCACUGAAGAGUUGCCUCUGUUUUUGGUUAUGUAUUGGUUAUGAUGCUUUUGUAAAUAAUUCACAUUCUAGUAAUUGUUGACCCCUGACCCAUAUGGAGUCAGAAAGGUUAGUGACAUGGUUUGAUUUGAGUAAAAACCUGAGUAAAAGUUACUUUGAAUAAACCUUUGUUGUUUUACUUUAUCAAUUUUUUUCUAUUUUAUUUAUUGGUUAUGAGGUUGUUGUAAGCCUGUAGUUCCAGUUUCAGUUUCACCAAAAACCUUCCAGAUGUCACUGAUUAGUCGGAUAGCUGUUCUGUAAUGAGCUCUCAUAUUUGACAACUUCAGAAUUCUGAUAAAAUGUAUUUUGUUUAAUUUAAUUUAUUCUGGGCGAACCCAAAUUCUACAUGUAUGUUCUGUAUAAUCCAUCAUAAAUCCUGAAUGCAACUAUUCACAUCAAAUAAAUCUUCAUAUUCAAAUAGUCCUGGUUAUUCUGAAAAAGAAAAUAUGCAAUACAUCCAUAUUUAAAGCUAAUGAGAGACUUUGAGAGGCUGGUAAAUGGAGGCAGCAGAAAAACAGUUUUUUGCCUGGGGCUGAAAGAGUUUUUAAUGUAUUUUAAUAAUUUAACUGUUGUUUGAAUUGUCUGUUUUUUUUCUUUUUUAAGUCGUAAAGCAUUUUGAGCUGUGUUUUGUGUAUGAAAGUUGCUAUAUAAAUAAAGUGUAUCAUUAUUAUUAUUAUCAUACAUGAUGUUAACCUAUUGGCCUUCCACAACUUCCACACUUGUUUCCCUCUUUCUCUCUCAUUGUGCUUGAUUAAGUUUAUCCAGAGCAGUUUAAACAGCAUUUUUCAGCAAACGAGCCAAACUCAAGCACACUUUGUAAGGCAGGUGUGUCACAGUUUCACAUACACAUCUCCCACAUCAUCAUGACUAAGCAUGUCUGUAUCUGAUGUCGUUUUUGCCCCCAUCCCCAUCCACUGGAUACAGCUCUGUCACAGGAAGUUGGGAUCAGUUCUUCUUUUGCAGCAUCUCAGCUGUAGCAGUCUGGCAUGUUAUAGUCUCAAGAAGCCCGUCUGGGCUACAACACACUCUGUGACGUCAAAAACCUCUCUGUAUGUGUGUGCAGGCCUCGCUGUCAGCCCCCGCAUAGCUUCUAAGGAGGAGGAGGAGUGGAUGAGGUGGGACGGUGGGACAAAGAGAGAUAUGGAGAUAGCCACAUGGGACACAUGCAUGCAGUUACAGAAGAUGUAGUGAAGAAAGCACAAGGUAACAGUUGAAGUUUUGUUUCUUAUGCACAUGUCAGUGUUUGUAUGUCAAUGUUGAACUUUUUAAAUCAUGAUUACAUGUCAUCAGUGUACUGUGGGUUAUGGUUUUUGUCACUUAAAGGACCUGAAAACGUGGCUUGAAUCAAUAUUCAUAAAAUAAUAUUAUAAUAGAAAAAGAAUAAAUACAAAAAUCUCUAUCUCAAAAAAUGUUGUAUUGUGUUCAUGUAGGAGCCCAUUACUCAUAGUAAGAAGCUGAUUGAGAAAAUGUUUUUAGGGCCUUUAACAUACUUUGCUACACCUUUCAGUGGGAAAAAAAAAUGCAUACAUGAAUUUCAUAAAAAUGAGACACAUGAUAACAGAAACUUCUCCAUGAAACUGAGUUUAAUAGAUUGUUAAAAAUAAGGCUAUGAUGCUGUUUUAGCAAACACUGACCAGGAGGAACCACCGGAAGCCCAGUACAACGGGUAAAUGUGACCAGUCUCUGGGAUAUUACAGAUGGACAUACAGUGAGCACACAUACACCGCACAUUUGCAAAAUCAAACACACACUGACAAAGGUGUCUUGCGUACAAACUCCUACAUGUACACAUGUACUGUACACACAAACUCACAUACAGACAUCCAUCCCACCCAAAACGGUGGCAAUAAAUAGAGAUUUAGAUGAAAACUUAGCAGUGUUCUCUUAAAAAAAACAUGCAUAGCUUAGUACGUGGAUGUGUUGUUCGAAACCACCAAGUUAUUGUUUGCACAGUUUGAUCUCAUGGUUUGUCAAAAAUUUCCAACAUGAUUACAUUAAUUUCUUUUAUUUAACCAUUAUUAACAAUCACGUAAACUCAUUGGACUAUUUUGUUCUACAAUAGCCUCCUAUUAUAUUUGUAAAAAGUUACAUUCUGAACCAAGAUAGGCUCGAUAACAAAGGAAAUAAAUACUGUAAUGGCAAAAACACAAUAUAAAGUUACUAUUUUGAAAUGGACUGAAGACCAAACCUGGCCCAACUUUUCAGAUAUAAAAACAAAUUAAAACACCUGCUUAAUAUUGGUAUCUUGCUAUCGUGUUACAGUCAUCAUUGAAAUACUCAUUACUUAAUAACAGUGUCUCACACAUGAGCACAAAACACGCACGAUGCACAAAAUAACAACAACAAAAAAUAGGACAAUAAUAGCCUUCCAGGCCUCCAAAUGUAUUUGUAACAUAACAAGGAAUGAGGAAGCAAUCAGGAGAGACUCUCUUUAGUGCUGUGUACUUGUCUAUUAGAAGGUGCCACACAAAAAUGUUGUAUUUAGUCAGAUUCCCUUAUUCAAGCUUAUUUUCCAAUAAGAUGACACCCUGAAAAUACACACGUAUAACCUCAAAUUAUUAGACUCACAACACGUUUAAAGUUAGAAAAGAUGCAAAUAAUGAAAAUGUUUCCCGGUGCUUCUUCUUUCAUUCGUCCUUUGGUUACUGGGAUGACACUUCACUAGAAAUAUUUGUACAUUUUGUUCCCUUCACACAAUUAGCACAUAGUAGUGUUGUGUACAUUAACAUAGAUGGUAUCUUCCAAACCUCAUGUAACUUUUUAAAGUGCCAAUGGGCUUAAGCAAACAGGAAGCACCACGCUGGUGGCACAGGCAGACUUUCCUCACACAGCAGAUGGGGGGUUUAGCUUUAAAACGUCCAAGCAGGCACACACUUGGACGAGGAUACAGGAUUUCCCCAUGCAGGCUAAUGCUAACCUGCAGUACAGUAAGCUGGUUCUUCUAUUCACAGGAAGCCUUUAAGUAUCCAAACUGCUUAGACAUUAUUCAUAUCACAAAACAUAAACCUGUGGCAAAUAGGGCUCGGUCUCAUUCAAUACUAAUACAACCUUCUCAAGCAAUGUUUCAUCCUACAGCUUUUGCUGAAUAAAAGCACAUUUUAUUUACCACUGGUACGUGCAAGCUGCUUUUCUAAUAAUCAGACAAUAUAGUGGAGUUAUCAGCCUCAGAAACACAUUCAAAGAAUUUAACCUUUUGAAAUUCUGUAUACAUUUUGACUUGGUAUCAUAUUUUAACACUUUGCUCUGAUGGUAAAGAUAAUAAAAAUACUCAACACAGGAAAGACUUCAGUGAAUGCCUACACACACCUGAUGCUCACACACGUACAGACAUG